rnacentral:rRNA from 1 species
AUUGAACGCUGGCGGCAGGCCUAACACAUGCAAGUCGAACGAGUGGCGGACGGGUGAGUAAUGUCUGGGAACCUGCCUGAUGUAGGGGGAUACCUACUGGAAACGGUAGCUAAUACCGCAUACCAUCAGAUGUGCCCAGAUGGGAUUAGCUAGUUGGUGGGGUAAAGGCUCACCAAGGCGACGAUCCCUAGCUGGUCUGAGAGGAUGACCAGCCACACUGGAACUGAGACACGGUCCAGACUCCUACGGGAGGCAGCAGAGGGGAAUAGUGAAAAAUGGGCGCAAGCCUGAUGCAGCCAUGCCGGGUGUAUGAAGAAGGCCUUCGGUUUGUAAAGUACGUUCAGCGGGGAGGCGUUACCCGCAGAAGAAGCACCGGCUAACUCCGUGCCAGCCGCCGCGGUAAUAC